ensembl:lncRNA
AUGGAGGAGGAGCAGGGGAGGAUGGAGGAGCAGGCUGCCCAGACUGAGGCCAGACUCCAGGCCACAGUGGCCUCCCUCAGACUGGAGCUAGACACACUGAGAUGGCUGCAACAGAAUGAGCUGUCAGCUCUACAGGAGAGCCAGGCGGAGGUGCUGAAGGCGUCAGAGUGUGUUGUCUCCACCCUACGCUGCUCCCAGGUUCAGCUGACCUCUGAACUACAGCAUUACAGACUGCAGCUGGAGGAGGCCCAGCACAACACCACCGCCCUGCUGGCAGAACUCAACACCAGAGAACAGCUGCUGCAGAGCACCAGCGAGACCCUGCUUAUCAAGGAAUCCGAAAUGACACGUCUAAGGACCAAGAUCUCCAGCUUUGAGAGAAGCAAGGAGCUCCAUAAAAUAGCUGUUUGCUCUUGUCUGACCUCUAUCAGGUCACAACCCUACAGCCCCCUCCCUACUCCCACCACAAAGUAAGAGAGAAGACCGAUAAAGAAUACCUUUGUCGACAAAUAUAAAUUUUAUUUUGAAUAUGAGAUAAAGUCCUCUCGGACAAAUGAAAUGCUUUUGUUUUUAUUGUAUUGUAGACGAGUCUAGUAGCAUGCACAAAUGCUUGGUGGAGUGUAAUGUGCUGAUUCAGAAUGCACUUUUGAUUGCGCAUAUGACUAUUUGUAUUUUGUUGUUUACUAUUACAGUAACAUUCAGCAGGUCUAAACACCAAUUAUAAUUAUUGACAACAUAUGCUAAACCACUGUGAAACGUGGCAGUGUUACAGCAGUGUUACGCCCUUAUUUGUCUGUUCCAAGUGAUCUGUGCCAUUAGUAUUGCUGCACGGAGAAGAGCUGCUCUCUGCAGGAAAUUAAACGGACCAGCAUCUGCAGGCGAUUUGAUCCUAAUGCUACAUCCAAAUCGCUUCCCUUGCUCAUCCUAGGAGUGGCUAUGUAGGGUUCCUUAUGAUCCUAGGAGAUAUGGAGCAAAGCAAUCUGUCUGUGUCACAAAUGGCACCCUAUCCCCUACAUAGUGCACUACUUUUGACCAGAGCCCUAUGGGACCUGGUCAAAAGUAAUGCACUAAAUAGGGAAUAGGGUUCCAUUUGAGAAGCAUUUGUUGUCUCUGCCAGGUUUACGUUAAAGGUGAGCCAUUUAAAAAUCAUGUUAUUGCACAGAGUGAGUCCAUGCAACUUAUUAUGUGAUUUCCAAAAAACUAAAUCCACUUUGACAUUAUGGGUUAUUGUGUGUAGAUCAGUCACACACAUGUUCAAUUUAAUACAUUUUAAAUUCAGGCUGUAACACAACAAAUUGUGGAAAAAGUCCAGGGGUGUGAAUACUUUCUGAAGGCACUGUGUAUCCUCAAUCUCUCCAAUUUGAUUGUCUUUUAGGACAAGAGCAGACUAAGAUA